rnacentral:rRNA from 1 species
AGUGAACGCUGGCGGUAGGCCUAACACAUGCAAGUCGAACGGCAGCACAGUAAGAGCUUGCUCUUACGGGUGGCGAGUGGCGGACGGGUGAGGAAUACAUCGGAAUCUACUUUUUCGUGGGGGAUAACGUAGGGAAACUUACGCUAAUACCGCAUACGACCUACGGGUGAAAGCAGGGGAUCUUCGGACCUUGCGCGAUUGAAUGAGCCGAUGUCGGAUGAGCUAGUUGGCGGGGUAAAGGCCCACCAAGGCGACGAUCCGUAGCCGGUCUGAGAGGAUGAUCAGCGACACUGGAACUGAGACACGGUCCAGACUCCUACGGGAGGCAGCAGUGGGGAAUAUUGGACAAUGGGCGCAAGCCUGAUCCAGCCAUACCGCGUGGGUGAAGAAGGCCUUCGGGUUGUAAAGCCCUUUUGUUGGGAAAGAAAAGCAGCAGGUUAAUACCCCGCUGUUCUGACGGUACCCAAAGAAGAAGCACCGGCUAACUUCGUG